GAGAACAAGAAAGCUGGGAGUCAGUCAUUCGCAGGCUUAAUGAAGCCAUUAUAGGACCCGUGGGGGUGUGUAUUUGUUUGUUUUCGAAGGGAGAGAAGGAAUGGGAGGGAGACGGCGAUAUCCUAGUAAUAUGGAGGUGGAGGAAGGCAAAGAGGCCCCGAACCAGGGAGGCUGUGGGGGAGGAAAGGAAGGGAACGUGGACAGCCCAAGGAAAGCAGGAAAGCAAGCAGGCAGCAAUGAAGGCGAGGAACCAAGAGCCAGCUGGCACCAGAGCGAGGAGUGACAGCCGCUGCAGGCAAAGGACUGGAGCUGGAGGAGGGAGGGUCUGGCAAUACCGGCAGAACCAGUCUUCUCCCUCCAAGGCUGCGGGGCCUUCCUUCUGAGACUCCCAGCUCUCCAGUCCCCGGGGGUAGACUAGUUUCUCCCACCACUCCCUCGACCCCCCAAAUCAAGAGGACCACGGAGAGAUUCUGAUAGUCUUCUCGCUCCCACCCCGAGUUGGGAAAGACUUGGAACAGAAUAAACGGGAGAAAAGAAGAGAGAUAGAAACAUGGAUGUGGGAGAGAAACAUCGAGAAACUCCGAUCAGUUGCCUCCCAAAAUCGAAAGCGCCCCGACCAGGGAAGCAACCUGCAACCUAACUGCGCCCUGACCAGGAUCCAACCGCAACCUUUUGUUGCAGGGGAGGAUGCUCCAGCCUACUGACCCAGUCAGGGCCCAGUGCAAGGCUUUAGAGGCAGUGUUUGUAAUAAGUCUUGACCACGGACCCACGGAAGGAACGGCUGUAGGACCAGGGUCACGUCGUAUUGAUCACAAAGUCUCAAGUUUCUACGCCUUGAGAUGGGGAAGAAAAGACACCGGGUCUGAAACCAAGGAUUUGAUGGCAAUCCCUGUACAGGCUGCACCCACUUCAGGCAAAAGCACCUUAGAGUCACUAUGCUUGUCAUACACACGUUCAUUUUCUUUAUUAGAGGGACUGCCCGUGGAAACGGAAGGAUUCACUCUAAGACUCCAAUACAGGGCUGUCAUGUAGUCCUGAGUGGGAACACGAGAUCCAGGGACAGAAAAGGGGCGACGGCGCGGUUGGGGUGAGGCAAAGAAGCACAAAUUCAGCUUGACACCACCACCCACUCGCAGCAUCUUUCCUGCUAGAGUGGAGUGUGGCAUCUGCGCAUGUACCCCCCGCCCCCAACCCGCACCGGGCCUUCAGGAGGAGUCAGCCAGUCCUGGGUAGCAAUGGUAUCCGCGCAUGCGUGUCCCGCUCACCUCUUGUCCCCAGUGGGAUGGUGGAGUUCCCUGGAGUAGGAGCAUAAAUACAGCCGCCAGGGGAGGUUUAAAUGGGUGCAGAGUCCGUGGAAGUAGAUGGGCAGGUGUGACUGCUCCUUUCGACUCUAUCAUAAUUUGCAGUCCUUUGAGGAAACUGAAAACCAUAGGACGGAAGGGAGUGGGUGCGUUAGACCCAGAGGAAACCCCUCUCAAUCCCGCCCUCACAUCUCCAUGCCCUAGAAGGGACUCAGUCUGAGAGGUCCAGUGGUCCCCCAGAUCACGCCCCCAAAGAGAGGCCAGAUUUGGACAAUAACCGCGCUGCACCCUACCCCCAUUUUUCCAGUCAGUUCUGGGAGCCCACCCCACACUCUGGGAGCCUCUGAGUCAAAAAAGGGGGUCCCGUGGGGUGGGGCGGGGAGGGGUUGAAAGUCCUGUGUCGAGCUGCCCCUGUAGCCCGGAAGAACCUUUGUUUUCUUCGUGGAUGUGGAGGGAAGACCCCAGAUGAGCCUGGGAAGUGCUGUGAAGAGUGACUUCAGACCACCUAUCAGGAAGUGAAGCCUGAAGGAGGAGGUGCGAAGCCACCCAGUGUGAAAUUGGGUUAAAACUCUGACCCCAGACUCCAGCAAUAAAAAAGGCAAUAUGGAUGGGCCUAGAGGGUAUUAUACUAAGUGAAAUAAGUCAGAGAGAGAAAGACAAAUACUUUAGUAUAUCACCUGCAUGUGGAAUCUAAAGAAUAAAACAAAUGAACAAACAAA